GCCCGGGUAGCUUAGUGGUAGAGCGUCCGGCUGUUAACCGGGAGGUCGUGGGUUCGAAUCCCACCCCGGGCG
rnacentral:tRNA from 1 species